CGCACGACUCUCGGCAACGGAUAUCUCGGUUCUCGCAUCGAUGAAGAACGUAGCGAAAUGCGAUACCUGGUGUGAAUUGCAGAAUCCCGCGAACCAUCGAGUCUUUGAAUGCAAGUUGCGCCCGAGGCCACCCGGUCGAGGGCACGCCUGCCUGGGCGUCACGC
rnacentral:rRNA from 2 species